GCGUGUGUGAAGAAGGCCUUAGGGUUGUAAAGCACUUUCAGUCGUGACGAUGAUGACGGUAGCGACAGAAGAAGCCCCGGCUAACUCCGUGCCAGCAGCCGCGGUAAUACGGAGGGGGCAAGCGUUGUUCGGAAUUACUGGGCGUAAAGGGCGUGUAGGCGGCCAGGUCAGUCAGGCGUGAAAGCCCGGGGCUCAACCCCGGAAUAGCGCUUGAUACUGCUUGGCUUGAGACCGGAAGAGGGUAGUGGAAUUCCCAGUGUAGAGGUGAAAUUCGU
rnacentral:rRNA from 1 species